rnacentral:rRNA from 1 species
CAGUCGCCGCGGUAAUACGGAGGGUGCAAGCGUUAAUCGGAAUUACUGGGCGUAAAGCGUGCGUAGGCGGUUCGUUAAGUCUGUUGUGAAAGCCCCGGGCUCAACCUGGGAAUGGCAAUGGAUACUGGCGAGCUAGAGCGUGUCAGAGGAUGGUGGAAUUCCCGGUGUAGCGGUGAAAUGCGUAGAGAUCGGGAGGAACAUCAGUGGCGAAGGCGGCCAUCUGGGACAACACUGACGCUGAGGCACGAAAGCGUGGGGAGCAAACAGGAUUAGAUACUCGUGUAGUCCCUGUCUCUUAUAU